CGCCAGACUCCUACGGGAGGCAGCAGUGAGGAAUAUUGGUCAAUGGUCGGGAGACUGAACCAGCCAAGCCGCGUGAGGGAUGAAGGUACAGAGUAUCGUAAACCUCUUUUGUCAGGGAACAAAGGCGGGGACGUGUCCCCGGAUGAGUGUACCUGAAGAAAAAGCAUCGGCUAACUCCGUGCCAGCAGCCGCGGUAAUACGGAGGAUGCGAGCGUUAUCCGGAUUUAUUGGGUUUAAAGGGUGCGCAGGCGUUCUGUUAAGACGGCGGAAACAGCGGGGGCCCCACCCCCGGCCCGCCGUUGAAACUGGCAGUCUCGAGUUGGAGAGAAGUAUGCGGAAUGCGCGGUGUAGCGGUGAAAUGCAUAGAUAUCGCGCAGAACUCCGAUUGCGAAGGCAGCAUGCCGGCUCCACACUGACGCUGAGGCACGAAAGCGUGGGUAUCGAACAGGAUUAGAUACCCUAGUA
rnacentral:rRNA from 1 species